UACAGAGGGGGCAAGCGUUAUUCGGAAUUAUUGGGCGUAAAGGGCGCGUAGGCGGCUUGGCAAGUGGAUGGUGAAAUCCCUCGGCUUAACCGAGGAACUGCCGUCCAAACUGCUUCGCUUGAGACCGGGAGAGGUGAGUGGAAUUCCCAGUGCAGCGGUGAAAUGCGUAGAUAUUGGGAGGAACACCAGUGGCGAAGGCGGCUCACUGGACCGGUACUGACGCUGAUGCGCGAAAGCGUGGGGAGCAAACGGG
rnacentral:rRNA from 1 species